AGUCGUGGGGCAGCACAGGUAGCAAUACUGGGUGGCGACCGGCAAACGGGUGCGGAACACGUACGCAACCUUCCUUUGAGCGGAGAAUAGCCCAGGGAAACUUGGAUUAAUACUCCAUAAUACAAUUGGGUGGCAUCACCUGAUUGUUAAAGCUCCGGCACUUAAGGAUGGGCGUGCGGCUGAUUAGGUAGUUGGCGGGGUAAUGGCCCACCAAGCCGACGAUCAGUAACUGGUGUGAGAGCACGACCAGUCACACGGGCACUGAGACACGGGCCCGACUCCUACGGGAGGCAGCAGUAAGGAAUAUUGGUCAAUGGACGCAAGUCUGAACCAGCCAUGCCGCGUGGAGGAUGAAGGCCCUCUGGGUUGUAAACUUCUUUUAUUGGGGAAGAAACCGGUUCUUUCUAGAGCCGUUGACGGUACCCGAUGAAUAAGCACCGGCUAACUCCGUGCCAGCAGCCGCGGUAAUACGGAGGGUGCAAGCGUUAUCCGGAUUCACUGGGUUUAAAGGGUGCGUAGGUGGGCAGGUAAGUCAGUGGUGAAAUCUCCGGGCUUAACCCGGAAACUGCCGUUGAUACUAUCUGUCUUGAAUGUAGUGGAGGUGAGCGGAAUAUGUCAUGUAGCGGUGAAAUGCUUAGAUAUGACAUAGAACACCCAUUGCGAAGGCAGCUCGCUACACUACUAUUGACACUGAGGCACGAAAGCGUG
rnacentral:rRNA from 1 species